GACGAACGCUGGCGGCGUGCCUAAUACAUGCAAGUAGAACGCACAGUUUAUACCGUAGCUUGCUACACCAUAGACUGUGAGUUGCGAACGGGUGAGUAACGCGUAGGUAACCUGCCUGGUAGCGGGGGAUAACUAUUGGAAACGAUAGCUAAUACCGCAUAAUAUUGAUUAUUGCAUGAUAAUUAAUUGAAAGGUGCAAUUGCACCACUACCAGAUGGACCUGCGUUGUAUUAGCUAGUAGGUGAGGUAACGGCUCAACUAGGCGACGAUACAUAGCCGACCGGAGAGGGUGAUCGGCCACACUGGGACUGAGACACGGCCCAGACUCCUACGGGAGGCAGCAGUAGGGAAUCUUCGGCAAUGGACGAAAGUCUGACCGAGCAACGCCGCGUGAGUGAAGAAGGUUUUCGGAUCGUAAAGCUCUGUUGUAAGAGAAGAACGGGUGUGAGAGUGGAAAGUUCACACUGUGACGGUAUCUUACCAGAAAGGGACGGCUAACUACGUG
rnacentral:rRNA from 1 species